GUUUAACGUGUGUGUGUGUGUGUGUUAACCAAAGACACCUCACUAACUUUCUCCUCAAACACACACACACACACUCACGUCAGUUUGGCGAUAAGAAAGUCCUGACUCAGAGUAAAAACAUCCCUCUGUGUUCUCCAAAAACAGUGUCAGCCCUCCAGAGAUCUUAAAUAUUCCUUCAAUUUUUCCUCCUCCUCCUCCUCCUCCUCCUUGCAUAAGCCCUCAGUGGAAAAUGUCAGUCCCUCUCCAAAUCCUCCACAAACCAACGCAGACCUGGUUCAGUAUUCCUUCAGCUUCAUAAAUCUUCAGUUUUUUUAAAACCAUUUUUCCCCUUGGAAGAUUUUCACGUCUCUUAUGCCACUUUCCUAAAAGCAAACAAAUAGAAGAAGAGAUGUGCAGUUCCUCUGUGAACCAUCAGCAGACAGAAGAUCGAGGUCUCAUGUGGAUUUCAGGUUUCCAGAGUGUCUGUGAAGGUAAAGCAGUUUUACGCUCCAGAACAACUGCUGAAAUAAAAGGCCGUCAUCAGACAGCUCUUCAAUGAAGCACAAACAGAUCAAGGAAAAUCAUAAUGAAGAAGAUAAUAAAACAUUUCCCCUCUCUC